UCCUCACAGUUCCUACAGUCCACAUGCUUGGCAUACGGCUGACAUAGGGAAAUUAAUCAUCUACCGGAUACAUCACCAGUACUGGAAUGCCUAAUGAUCUCAUUGUCUACAGCCUGUAGAGACUACGGCGUCUCAUCAGGUUGUUUCAGAUAAAGUCCCCCCCCUCGCCUCUCCAGCGAUAGGCUGUGUGAGAGGCGGGCCCAGAGGUGCGCCAUUGCACAUCGAUCCAUGCCCUAUUGGUCCCAGCAGGCGCGAAACCUUUGCAAUUCCGAAACCUCGACAGGGUUAAUCUUAGUGUGUUCCGCUAAGGAGAUCCUUUGUUAGUCAUAAAACCACGCCGACUACGGGGGGGGGCAAGUUUGGUGUGUCCGCCUGCUCCGUCAAACCAACACCUGAUUGUUCGGCAGCUGUCUAGAACACCAAAGCCCCCCCCCCGUCUACACACCUUUUUUUAACUCCACUGCGCAUAACGUUUACGGAGCUCAAUCUACUGGACCGCUACGGGCGGCAGAGCAAAGAGGGUAUUCAAGGGGAGGGGCAAAAAUCCUUGGAUCUUUGCAUGCCCCCAGUGGCGAAGGGCGGUGUCCCGAAACACGUUCCCGGGUAGGGAUGCAAGUGCCGAGCAAACCUCUCCGACACCCUGGUCGUCCGACCUCUCAUCCAUGGAAAUUCGGUGAUGCACUGGCCUCCCCCCCCUCAGUGCCGCAGGGAAGCCGUUAAGUCUGCCGCCUGGGAAGUACCCCCCAAGAAUGAAACUUAAAGGAAUUGGCGGGGGAGCAC
rnacentral:rRNA from 1 species